AUGGCUCAGGAUGAACGCUAGCGGCAGGCUUAACACAUGCAAGUCGAGGGGCAUCGGGAGUAGCAAUACGUUGCCGGCGACCGGCGCAAGGGUGCGUAACGCGUGAGCAACAUGCCCGUAUCAGGGGGAUAAUCCAUGGAAACGUGGUCUAAUACCCCAUAGUAAUUAUGUAAGGCAUCUUAUAUAAUUUAAAGCUUUGGUGGAUACGGAUUGGCUCGCGUGACAUUAGCUGGAUGGUAAGGUAACGGCUUACCAUGGCUACGAUGUCUAGGGGUUCUGAGAGGAAGGUCCCCCACACUGGAACUGAGACACGGUCCAGACUCCUACGGGGGGCAGCAGUGAGGAAUAUUGGACAAUGGAUGGAAAUCUGAUCCAGCCAUGCCGCGUGCAGGAAAGACGGCCCUAUGGGUUGUAAACUGCUUUUGUAUGGGAGCAAUAAGGGCUACGUGUAGUCCGAUGAGAGUACCAUACGAAUAAGCACCGGCUAACUCCGUGCCAGCCGCUGC
rnacentral:rRNA from 1 species